UACGUAGGGGGCAAGCGUUAUCCGGAUUUACUGGGUGUAAAGGGAGCGUAGACGGCCGUGCAAGUCUGAUGUGAAAGGCUGGGGCUCAACCCCGGGACUGCAUUGGAAACUGUGCGGCUGGAGUGCCGGAGGGGCAGGCGGAAUUCCUAGUGUAGCGGUGAAAUGCGUAGAUAUUAGGAGGAACACCAGUGGCGAAGGCGGCCUGCUGGACGGUAACUGACGUUGAGGCUCGAAAGCGUGGGGAGCAAAC
rnacentral:rRNA from 1 species